rnacentral:rRNA from 1 species
UACGGAGGGUGCGAACGUUAAUCGGAAUUACUGGGCGUAAAGCGUGCGCAGGCGGUUAUAUAAGUCAGAUGUGAAAUCCCCGGGCUCAACCUGGGAACUGCAUUUGAGACUGUAUAGCUAGAGUACGGUAGAGGGGGAUGGAAUUCCGCGUGUAGCAGUGAAAUGCGUAGAUAUGCGGAGGAACACCGAUGGCGAAGGCAAUCCCCUGGACCAGUACUGACGCUCAUGCGCGAAAGCGUGGGGAGCAAACAGG